AGCCGCGGUAAUACGGAGGGAUGCAAGCGUUAUCCGGAUUCACUGGGUUUAAAGGGUGCGUAGGCGGGCAGAACAGUCAGUGGUGAAAUCUCCGAGCUUAACUCGGAAACUGCCGUUGAUACUAUUUGUCUUGAAUAUUGUGGAGGUAAGCGGAAUAUGUCAUGUAGCGGUGAAAUGCAUAGAUAUGACAUGGAACACCAAUUGCGAAGGCAGCUUACUACACAACGAUUGACGCUGAGGCACGAAAGCGUGGGUAGCGAACAGGAUUAGAUACCCUGAUAGUCCACGCCCUAAACGAUGAUUACUCGACAUACG
rnacentral:rRNA from 1 species